rfam:Taenia asiatica genome assembly, scaffold: TASK_contig0014606
GUCUCCGUGGCACAGCGGUAGCGUGUCUGACUCCAGAUCAGAAGGCUGCGUGUUCAAAUUACGUCGGGGUUA